rnacentral:rRNA from 1 species
CCUACGGGUGGCAGCAGUGAGGAAUAUUGGUCAAUGGACGAGAGCCUGAACCAGCCAAGUAGCGUGAAGGAUGACUGCCCUAUGGGUUGUAAACUUCUUUUAUAUGGGAAUAAAGUGUUCCACGUGUGGGAUUUUGUAUGUACCUUAUGAAUAAGGAUCGGCUAACUCCGUGCCAGCAGCCGCGGUAAUACGGAGGAUCCGAGCGUUAUCCGGAUUUAGUGGGUUUAAAGGGAGCGUAGGUGGAUUGUUAAGUCAGUUGUGAAAGGUUGCGGCUCAACCGUAAAAUUGCAGUUGAAACUGGCAGGCUGGAGUACAGGAGAGGUAGGCGGAAUUCGUGGUGUAGCGGUGAAAUGCUUAGAUAUCACGAAGAACUCCGAUUGCGAAGGCAGUUCACUGGACUGCAACUGACACUGAGGCUCGAAAGUGUGGGUAGCAAACAGGAUUAGAUACCCGAGUAGUC